rnacentral:lncRNA from 1 species
CAUCAUUGCAUUUUAAUAAAUUAAUUCGAGUUUGAUUUAAUUAUUUAUUAAUUGAGCCUAAUGUAUGCAGGUCGAGUCAAGCUCAAUAAGAUAAAGUCUAAACCUACACUGCAUCAUUUCACAUCCUCCGGAGUCGACUCCAAGAACUUUCCUCCAAAACCCAGUGCUUCCCAUUAAUUCCCAUCUGCACCUAAUUCUCUUUCCACACUUUUCAAUUAUUUGUUUCUCAGAUCUCAAAGCAUACCAUCUAGUUGCACGGAUCCCAAAGCCUUAUCUUCUUCAAAUCUCAGCC